UACGUAGGGUGCGAGCGUUGUCCGGAAUUACUGGGCGUAAAGAGCUCGUAGGCGGUUUGUCGCGUUGUUCGUGAAAACUCACAACUCAAUUGUGGGCGUGCGGGCGAUACGGGCAGACUGGAGUACUGCAGGGGAGACUGGAAUUCCUGGUGUAGCGGUGGAAUGCGCAGAUAUCAGGAGGAACACCGGUGGCGAAGGCGGUUCUCUGGGCCUGACCUGACGCUGAGGAGCGAAAGCGUGGGGAGCGAACAGG
rnacentral:rRNA from 1 species